GACAGAGGGUGCAAACGUUGUUCGGAAUCACUGGGCGUAAAGCGCGUGUAGGCGGCGAGGUGUGUCGGGUGUGAAAGCCCACGGCUCAACCGUGGAAGUGCAUUCGAAACUGCCUUGCUAGAGUCCUGGAGAGGAAGGUGGAAUACUCGGUGUAGAGGUGAAAUUCGUAGAUAUCGAGUGGAACACCGGUGGCGAAGGCGGCCUUCUGGAAAGUGACUGACGCUGAGACGCGAAAGCGUGGGGAGCAAACAGG
rnacentral:misc_RNA from 1 species